rnacentral:rRNA from 1 species
AAGCUCGUAGUGAAUUUCGGCCCCUGUUGGUCGGUCCGCCUUCUUGGUGUGUACUUACUCAACGGGGGCUUACCUCCUGGUGAGCUGCGAUGCCCUUUACUGGGUGUCGUAGGGAACCAGGACGUUUACUUUGAAAAAAUUAGAGUGUUCAAAGCAGGCCUACGCCCGAAUACAUUAGCAUGGAAUAAUAGAAUAGGACGCGCGUUCCCAUUUUGUUGGUUUCUGAGAUCGCCGUAAUGAUUAAUAGGGAUAGUUGGG